GAGUUUGAUCCUGGCUCAGAUUGAACGCUGGCGGCAGGCCUAACACAUGCAAGUCGAGCGGAAACGAGUUAACUGAACCUUCGGGGAACGUUAACGGCGUCGAGCGGCGGACGGGUGAGUAAUGCCUGGGAAAUUGCCCUGAUGUGGGGGAUAACCAUUGGAAACGAUGGCUAAUACCGCAUAAUAGCUUCGGCUCAAAGAGGGGGACCUUCGGGCCUCUCGCGUCAGGAUAUGCCCAGGUGGGAUUAGCUAGUUGGUGAGGUAAUGGCUCACCAAGGCGACGAUCCCUAGCUGGUCUGAGAGGAUGAUCAGCCACACUGGAACUGAGACACGGUCCAGACUCCUACGGGAGGCAGCAGUGGGGAAUAUUGCACAAUGGGCGCAAGCCUGAUGCAGCCAUGCCGCGUGUAUGAAUAAGG
rnacentral:rRNA from 1 species